rnacentral:rRNA from 1 species
GGCCGCAGUAUUUUGACUGUGCAAAGGUAGCAUAAUCAUUAGUCUUUUAAUUAAGGGCUAGUAUGAAUGGUUGGACGAGGUGAAUUCUGUUUUAUGUUAAUUUAAGUUGAAUUUAGUUUUUGAGUAAAAAGACUUAAAUAUUAUUAAGGGACGAGAAGACCCUAUAGAGUUUAAUAUAUGUAAUAAUUAAUUAAGUUAUAAUUUAAUUUUUGAUUAUUAUGCAAUUUAUUUAAUUGGGGUGAUUAAGAGAUAUAUAAAACUCUUUUUAAAUGUUAAUAAUAUAUUUAGUUAUAUGAUCCAUAAUUAAUGAUUAGAAGAUUAAAUUACCUUAGGGAUAACAGCAUAA